AUGGCAGCGAGGAAUUCCGGGCAGCAACCCCACGGGGUGGCGGCUAGCACCCUCCUGAAACGGGCAGUGGAAUUGGACUCCGACUCUCGGUACCAGGAGGCUUUUGUGUGUUAUCAGGAGGGUAUCGAUAUGUUGCUGCAACUGCUUAAAGGCACCAAAGACAGUGCAAAGAAAUGUCACUUGAGACAAAAAAUUUCUGACUUCAUGGACAGAGCAGAAGAAAUAAAGAAGUUCUUGGAGCAGGAAAAAGAAGAUGGAAAAUACCACAAGCAAAUUAAAAUAGAAGAGAAUGCAACAGGUUUUAGUUAUGAGUCACUUUUUCAACAAUACCUUAAUGCAGCUGUUACUGAAGUAUGGAUAGAAGAUCCUUAUAUUAGACACACUCACCAGCUAUACAACUUUCUUCGAUUCUGUGAGAUGCUUGUUAAACUGCCAUGUAAAGUGAAAACUAUUCAUCUUCUUACUUCUAUGGAUGAAGGCAUUGGGAAAGGUCAGCAGAUCAGUGGCCUGGAAGAAAUAAGAGAAUCACUUUGUAAGCAUGGAAUAGAACUGGAAAUAGAAUUCUCUUCUUCAAUCCAUGAUCGAGAAAUUAGCUUGGACCCAUUCAAAUAUGAAUCAUGAAGUCUUUUGGAGGAACCAUAACCUUUUUUCCUGGGUGAUAAGUUUUUGUCCCUUUAUAUAGACACAACCCAAGAUUAAACCUGGUGUUUCUUCCACUAUCAUACACUUUAUCAAAUUCAACAAUGGAUGGAUGAUAAAGAUUGGAAGGGGCCUUGAUUAUUUUAAGAAACCACAGGUAGGACAUAGCCUUAUCUUAUUAAUGAGUAACACAAUUCUAUGUCAUUAAUAAUAAAUUCUCUUUUUCUCCUUAGGGGCGUUUUGCACUUGGGUAUUGUGAUUUUGAUUUGAGACCAUGUCAUGAAACAACAGUGGACAUUUUUCAUACUAGGCACACAAAGAAAAUAUGACUGUCUCCAACCUUUUUUUUAACCUCGUCUUAAAAGUUUAUAAUUUAAAUAGUGAAUUUUAAAACACUUUUUAUACAAUAACCAUUCCUGUCAUUUGAAAAUAUAACAAUAAAUCUAAUUUAUAUUUCUGCUGA